AGGAUGAACGCUAGCUACAGGCUUAACACAUGCAAGUCGAGGGGAAACGACAUCGAAAGCUUGCUUUUGAUGGGCGUCGACCGGCGCACGGGUGAGUAACGCGUAUCCAACCUGCCCACCACUUGGGGAUAACCUUGCGAAAGUAAGACUAAUACCCAAUGAUAUCUCUAGAAGACAUCUGAAAGAGAUUAAAGAUUUAUCGGUGAUGGAUGGGGAUGCGUCUGAUUAGCUUGUUGGCGGGGUAACGGCCCACCAAGGCGACGAUCAGUAGGGGUUCUGAGAGGAAGGUCCCCCACAUUGGAACUGAGACACGGUCCAAACUCCCACGGGAGGCAGCAGUGAGGAAUAUUGGUCAAUGGACGAGAGUCUGAACCAGCCAAGUAGCGUGAAGGAUGAAGGUCCUACGGAUUGUAAACUUCUUUUAUAAGGGAAUAAACCCUCCCACGUGUGGGAGCUUGUAUGUACCUUAUGAAUAAGCAUCGGCUAACUCCGUGCCAGCAGCCGCGGUAAUACGGAGGAUGCGAGCGUUAUCCGGAUUUAUUGGGUUUAAAGGGAGCGCAGACGGGUCGUUAAGUCAGCUGUGAAAGUUUGGGGCUCAACCUUAAAAUUGCAGUUGAUACUGGCGUCCUUGAGUGCGGUUGAGGUGUGCGGAAUUCGUGGUGUAGCGGUGAAAUGCUUAGAUAUCACGAAGAACUCCGAUUGCGAAGGCAGCACACUAAUCCGUAACUGACGUUCAUGCUCGAAAGUGUGGGUAUCAAACAGGAUUAGAUACCCUGGUAGUCCACACGGUAAACGAUGGAUACUCGCUGUUGGCGAUAUACUGUCAGCGGCUUAGCGAAAGCGUUAAGUAUCCCACCUGGGGAGUACGCCGGCAACGGUGAAACUCAAAGGAAUUGACGG
rnacentral:rRNA from 1 species